ACUGGUUCCUGUUUUUGUUUUCAGGAGGUAUGAGUUUCAUCCUGUCUGUGCUGAUCUGCAGGCCAAAAUUCUCCAGUGUUACCGCCAGAACACCCAGCAGACCCUCAGCUGCUCUGCUCUGGCCAACCAGUACAUGCGCUGUGUCAAUCAGGCCAAACAGAGCAUGCUUGAGAAGGGAGGAUAAAGUCAACUUUUCGAACAAGCAGAACUCCUCAACGUUAAUUCCAGAGGCGGAACAUUUUUUUUUCCUAGUAAGAAAGUAACCCAUUUAAGGAGAAGACGAUUAAAGAGAAGCACCAAAGAGCAGAUCCAGCUGAAGCAUAUCCCAGUUUGAUCAACUGCAGUUUGAAAAGCCAAGGUCUAGAUCAGGUAUCAGCCAGCAAGGACACACUGCAGUGUUAGUCAACCCUGUUCAUGAUGAUUAAAAGAGAAAGGCAGCCCUCUCCACCUUUCCGACUUUCUAUUCAACUCUUUCUUCUCACAAGCUCCAGGGUUGGGUGAAUCUUCAUUCCAGCAGAGCUGGGGCAGGGGGUUGGGAUGGGGGCUAAGGUUUUUGGAGUGGGGUGGGGAGAGGGCACCAUACCUCCCCCAGCAGUGCUGGGUCAUCUAGGCUCUGGCGUGUUGGUUUCUCUUUUUCUUUUCUCCCUUGACUAUAUAAGAGCUGCUUCAUUUUAACUUAUUAUGGUGAUCAUAUAAGUAAGACAAAAAGGAGAGAAAAAUGUACCUCUUUUACUGGAAUAAUGUUUAUGAUUACAAGUGAAAUAAGGCAUUUUUUUAUCAAACAUAAAGGCAACCUUGGCUUAUACAACCUCUUCUCUAUCAUGAAUACUGACAUCUUUACUGCACUCACUAUCAAUAAUAAAUAUAUUUUCCGAAGAAGACUGGC